UUUCAACCUUACCAAAUUUUGGUAAAGUUGUAAAAAAAAAUGGCUACAUUUAGUUUGCUGCCAAAUUUUUGUAACUAUAUUAGAAAUCCUACCAAAAUUUUGGCAUACCAAAAUUGGUAUCAAAGUGAACAGGCCCUUAGCAACUUGCUAAAAUUUUGGCAGGAUUUCUUAUAUAGUUAUCAAAAUUUGGCAGCAAAAUAAAUGUAGCCACUUUUUUUUGGUAACUUUAUCAAAAUUUGG
rnacentral:misc_RNA from 1 species